rnacentral:rRNA from 1 species
UGUCUUUAUGGCAAAUGUGAGAUGCAGUGUAUGGAAUGUCAAAUUUCUAGUAUGAGAAAUUAACGAUUUAAGUCCUUCUUAAAUGAGGCCAUUUACCCAAAGAGGGUGCCAGGCCCGUAUAACGUUAAUGAUUACUAGAUGGCAUUUCCAAAGAGUCGUGUUGCUUGAUAGUGCAGCACUAAGUGGGUGGUAAACUCCAUCUAAAACUAAAUAUAACCAUGAGACCGAUAGUAAACAAGUACCGUGAGGGAAAGUUGAAAAGAACUCUGAAUAGAGAGUUAAAUAGUACGUGAAACUGCUUAGAGGUUAAGCCCGAUGAACCUGAAUAUCCUUUAUGGAAAAUUCAUCAUUAUGAUUUUAAUAUUUUUAUAAUACUAAAAUAAUGGUGUGCAUUUUUUCCAUAUAUGGACAUUGUAAUCUAUUAAUCACAUUAUUUAUUAUAAGAUCAUUGCUUUAGUUUAUUCAAAUUAUUUUGCUUGCAAUUUAACAUAGAAUAAAUGCUUUUGAUUUAAUAAAGUGUUGAUAGAUUUAUUAUAUAUAGUGCUUGAAUAUAUUUAUAUAUUCUAUAAUGGCAUAUUGAUCAUUGAUCUUUAUGUUUCAAUUAUAUGCACUUAUAUGAUUAACAAUGCGAAAGAUUCAGGAUACCUUCGGGACCCGUCUUGAAACACGGACCAAGGAGUCUAACAUAUUUGCAAGUGAUUGGGAAUUAAAAACCUAAAAGCGAAAUUAACAUAACUUAUAUAAUGGGAUUAGUUUUUAGUACUAUUUAUAGUCUAUUAAUUCAAUCCCGGGGCGUUCUAUACAGUUAUGUAUAAUAAUAUUUAUAUUAUUUAUACCUCUAACUAGAGCGUACCUUGAGCAUAUAUGCUGUGACCCGAAAGAUGGUGAACUAUACUUGAUCAGGUUGAAGUCAGGGGAAACCCUGAUGGAAGACCGAAACAGUUCUGACGUGCAAAUCGAUUGUCAG